GUGCUCACUUCAGCAGCACAUAUACUAAAAUUGGAACGAUACAGAGAAGAUUAGCAUAAAAAAAUUGAAGAAUGUGAACAUUUUCAU
ensembl:snRNA U6 U6 spliceosomal RNA